rnacentral:rRNA from 1 species
AUGAACGCUGGCGGCGUGCCUAAUACAUGCAAGUCGAGCGAACAGACGAGGAGCUUGCUCCUCUGACGUUAGCGGCGGACGGGUGAGUAACACGUGGAUAACCUACCUAUAAGACUGGGAUAACUUCGGGAAACCGGAGCUAAUACCGGAUAAUAUAUUGAACCGCAUGGUUCAAUAGUGAAAGACGGUUUUGCUGUCACUUAUAGAUGGAUCCGCGCCGCAUUAGCUAGUUGGUAAGGUAACGGCUUACCAAGGCGACGAUGCGUAGCCGACCUGAGAGGGUGAUCGGCCACACUGGAACUGAGACCCGGUCCAGACUCCUACGGGAGGCAGCAGUAGGGAAUCUUCCGCAAUGGGCGAAAGCCUGACGGAGCAACGCCGCGUGAGUGAUGAAGGUCUUCGGAUCGUAAAACUCUGUUAUUAGGGAAGAACAAAUGUGUAAGUAACUAUGCACGUCUUGACGGUACCUAAUCAGAAAGCCACGGCUAACUACGUG